GCUGAUCCCAGCCUCCUCCAGGGUUAAGAUCCUCUCCCCAGACGUUGCUACAGGGAAUGUAUCUCCAUCAUUGAAUUGAGUCUUUGCUGCUGAGUGCGUUGAUUUGUGCACAUGUGAGACAGAUAACAGUGAUGGAAGAGGAUCCACAUGUUUAUUCAGCCAUUUGCAGCACUGAUGGCUGCCUUUGGGAAGACAGACAAAAUAUUACAUAAGAAGGAAAGUAAAAAAAUGCUGACUGGGAGCCACAAGUUAAAGUAAAUUGGUCAAGACCCGAUGGGAUGAAACCCUACAUCAAGACCAUGGCUGAAACCAGAUAGAAAAUACCUGAAGACUGUUAUUAAAAUAUCAUCAACAUUAUCAGUCAAAGGAACAAGAUUGUGCUGUUAUGGCAGUUAAAUAGAGGACGUUCACAGACACUUUCAAUUGUACAAGAUUACCCCGGAUGCUGCCUCGCAAUGGUUUUGAACUCAUUUUCCCAGUUAGGUCUUCCAUACAAUGUUUUCUGUUUAAGGCCUGUAAUCACAUCCUUCUCCUCUUCAUGAUGCAUUACAAAAUGAGUGGCCUGUGAAAAAAGAAAGACAAAGGAUAGUGUCAUGACAAUAUGCAUCAAAUUAUUUGCAUUCCGAAAACAUUCCUGUAGAAUUUAUGGUAUUUAGAAAGGAAAAUUAACACAAGUCCUGACCAGCAGUGUCCAUCUCUCUCUUACCCCCAGUCUGGGUUAUCUCAAGAACUGAACACUUUGAACACAUAACAAUUAUGUUCCUUUUUCAAUGAACUGUUUUAGU